rnacentral:lncRNA from 1 species
CGGUCUUCUCUCUAUGUAAAUCCGACAUGUGGACCUCAUUUUGUUAUUAUUCCGAUAACCCCCUGCGGAAACAGACAUUCACCAAAACUCGUGGAAAUUGUCAGUAAAUACCAUAAGUCUAUGGUGAUGUUCAGUCCCUUUCUUCUCCUUGGUUGACAUAAAAUUUUGAUGGUUAACAACCAUCAACAAACUCCCCCAAGCUUGCCUUUUGCUCGUCCUUGAGCAAAUAGCUACAAGAGAUAGAUGAAGAGUUGCUACAAUGCUUUCAUGCUUUAUAAGUACACAUGCUUCAAAUAAGAACUCAUCCCCAGACUACAGUGAACUAUCAUAACUUCCAAACUUACUCGUGUUUCUUCCAACCAUGGAGCUUUUACCUAUUCUUUGGUCUUGAGCAGUUGAAAGACAGAACAAUUAAGUCAAGCACUAUUGUCUCAUGCUUUGUUGUUCCACCUCUGUUCUGGAGUUUUUAUAAGAGUUUCAAAAAUAAAACUCAUAGUUCUUUAAUAUGACCUUUCAAGUCUAUCAAUAUGUGGUAUUUUUGGAUCCUCUCUAAGGCAUUGAAAGGAGUGAUGCCUUCUUUCUUGCUCUAAAAUAUUUAGUAUUUGUGGCACAAUGCAUUUAUAUAGCCUUUACUCUAUCUCACCCUAUAUCUAAUAAAGCAUAUAUGGAGCUCAUAGGUGUGG